rnacentral:lncRNA from 1 species
UUAGAUUUUCUAGCUUCUAAUUUUUUUGUAUGUUUUUCUUUCAUAGUAUGAAAUUAAUCUUUUGGAGCUGAUCCAAAGAAGAAGAACACGCAUUGGAUAUUCAUUUAAGAAGGAUGAGAUUGAGAAUUCUAUUGUACACCGGGUACAAGGUGUUUUCCAGCGUGCCUCAGCAAAAUGGAAAGAUGAUGUUCAACUUUGGCUCUCCUAUGUGGUUUUUUGUAAGAAGUGGGUAAGUAAAGCCAUGCAUGUCUUACUUCCUCUGGCCAUAUUUUUG